rnacentral:rRNA from 1 species
UACAGAGGGUGCAAGCGUUAAUCGGAAUUACUGGGCGUAAAGCGUGCGUAGACGGUUACAUAAGUCGGGUGUGAAAGCCCCGGGCUCAACCUGGGAAUUGCAUUCGAGACUGCGUAGCUAGGGUGCGGAAGAGGGAAGCGGAAUUUCCGGUGUAGCGGUGAAAUGCGUAGAUAUCGGGAGGAACACCAGUGGCGAAGGCGGCGACCUGGACCGAUACUGACGCUGAGACACGAAAGCGUGGGGAGCAAACAGG